AGGGAAACAAGGGGCGGCCCACAUGAUGGAUCUCUCUUCUCCUUUUUGUGCCGUGAGAGAGCCUACCCCUCUGUUGGUUUUUGUGACGUGGGAGAGCCUCUUUCUCUUGGGUUUCAGCCACCAGCAAACAAAGAAAAAGAAGGAGGCAUGUAGCCCUUCCUCCCUCUCUUCUUUGGUUCCAAAAAAAAGAAAAAAAGAAAAAGCUGCAAAGGGGUUUUGCCUUCUUCCUUUUGAUCCAUCCUUCUUCCUCCUCUCUAAGGCAAUCAAGAGUUGAUUCAAAAGAGAGGAUUUUAGCCAUCAAAACGCAUCUCUGCAAGAGAGCUAGCACCCCGGGGAGAUUAGUGAGUUUGGAUUGGUCCUCUGCCUCGUGUGGAUAUCCGUAGAGGCCGGACGCGUGUGCGGCUUCAACCGAACCUUCCAACAAAUACCACGAUCAUCAGAUUGCAGUGAAUAUCUACCCGCACAAGGCAAUCAAGAGUUGAUUCAAAGGAGAGGAUUUCAGCCAUCAAAAGCCAUCUCUGCAAGGAAGCCAACACCCCGGAAAGAUUCAAAGACUUAGAUCGGUCCUCUGCCUCGUGUGGAUACCCGUAGAGGCCGGAUGUAUGUGCGGCCUCAAGCGAACCUUCCAAUAAAUCCAUGAUCAUCAAAUUUGCGGUGAUCAUCUACCCGCACAAGUGCAAGUAAUCCAAGAAACCAAUUAACAUUGGGUUUGCGCCCAAUGCCCGGCAGCCCGAGCUCAAGUCAAGCCGUCCGUGAGGAGUUUUUCCAACACAACAGAUCCCUUCAUCCAGUCUUAGCCCAACUGUGAUUCCAGCACAUUCCAAGCUUCACGCGAUGAAGCCAUCAACGUCCGCGUCAGUCCCAGGCACCCAUUCGAACGCAGCCCAGCUUCUCCAAGUGAUCCCGCGGCCAGCGUUGCAACCUCCCAUCCGCAUCAGCGAUCCGGCGUCCCCCUCUCCCGGAUUUGAGAUCCCCGCGACCCAAUCCCAGCUGUGCGCCCAUUCCGUGAUCCCGUGCGAAGAACAGGGGAGAAGAAAGGAUCCCGUGCCCGGAGAAGAAAGGAUCCGCGUUGCCCAAAUUUUCUUCCAUUUCAGCGCGUCUCCACCGCAUAGCAUCCACCGCAUCCCCAGUUCCUUCCAAUCCAGUGAUCUCCUUCCUUACGCGAUCAAAAUCCCAGCUCCUCCAAGAGAUCCCAGGCGCCCAUAAAGCCGUGAUCGGCUCUUCCGGCUUCAACCCUUCCUCCGCAUCGGAAUCCUAGCCGUGAUCCACUCCUUCCACGAUCCGAAUCCCAGCUCAUCCCGCCUCUGCACCCAUGGAUCCACGGCAUCCCGUAAUCCACAUGCUCCCAGCGCCCGGAUCUCGUCCGUGAUCGACUCCUCCCCACGUCCCCACCUUUUGAUUCCAGGCCGUCCGCAUCCUCCGCGUCCUCACCGCGUCUGCCAUCUUCCUUCCCCAUUUGAGCAUUCCGGCCAUGGCAUCACUUCCAAAUCUGCCACGCCAUCAACACGAACGCAUGCCAGCAACGCCCAUCAGCAGAAUCCCAGCGUCCGCCCUCUCCUUACUCCCACGGAUCACGCCAU